GCGGGGGCGAAGCUGCUCCGGCAGCGCUGCGGUUCAGAGGCCGCGCUCGGGUCGCGAUGUCCCAGCUGGAGGGACAGCGGGGACCGCCGGUGACGCGUUUGUGUGACCCUUGGCCUGGCCUGCACCUUGUCCUGCCCUUGGAUCUAAAUCUGCUCAUGCCCCUUCGUUUAAAACUCAGUAUUAAGUCCCUGUCCUUCCCCUCUGCCUCCCUGCCCCAAGUUACUUUAAGCUCAUUUUACAAAGAAGGCACUGCAUGUUUUAGGUAAAAAAACCACAAACCUUCAGCACAGAUUGCAAGAUGUGUUUUCUCCACUGUUCUGCAGCAGUUCCUGUUCUCCUGCCCGUUGCACUGGUAUAGCCUGUAAUGGAAAUUGGGAAUUCUGUCCUGAAAUAUCUCCUGGAAACAUCACUGCGAUUUUCUUUCCCCAUGCAGAAAGCUGGAGGGAAAAGCUUUUUUAGGGAUCCAGCUGACCAGUAUCUUCCAGAGGACCUGCUUGUAUUAAAAAAAAAAAAUUAAAAGGGGGUAAAAGUGGGAUAAAAGUGGGGCUGGAAGACAAUGCAAUAAUCAUGGCUCAGCAGAAAUGUGGAUACUGGUAGAUGGAGAGACACCUGCUCCUGUGCUGGGACACAGGUACCACACAGAUUGUGAUCUAGAGCUCUGUAUGUAUUUAAAUAUAGACUGGUUUGAAGAAUUCAGGCUUUUCUCUCUCUCUCUCAUGGUUAAAUGGAAACCAAUAGUGUGUGUGCAGUGUGGGAAAUCUUUCAAGCCUGAGCAAAACCUCCUAUGGUCAGGGCCGCCGUGUGCAGCGAUGUGGGAUGGAGCAGCUGCACAGUGGGGAUUGUGCUCCCAGGGACAGGGACGGGCUCGGAGCCCUCCUGCCUCUCCCAGCUGGAGUCAGCGGCUCCACACAAUUCCUGGUGGCUCCUCUGGAAGACCAGGCUAAUUGCUCGUGUCUCCUGCGAGGACAGAUGUGCCCAGAAACGAAGUGCACUGACAGAAACCCGCAGUGUUUGCCAUCUCAAACAGCGCUCGGCCCUGCAAAGUUGUUUUUCUGCAUUAAAGAGAAAUGUUGGAGUUAAUUGAGGUGAAUGCAAUGAUAGCUGGCAGCUGUAUCAUAACAACCCCUCCUCACACACACAGGCACAAGGAAGCAGAGCAGCACUGCUAUUGUUUGUUGCUUUAUUCUGCCUUUGACUUCUUUUUUUUUUUUUUUCCUUUUUUCAAUGCCAUGUUUUCUUUUAAAGUUAUCUGCUCUAAUCUGCAGCAAUAUGGGUUCAUAACUGACUGUAUUUGGACUAAGGAUAUUCUUGUGCCAUGUGUUUUCCUGGUCAGGCAUUUAGAGUACAAGCUGUAUUGAAAGUUACACUGAAAACAUCAGACAGAACUAGUGUAAUAUUAAGCCAGCUUUGUAUUAUUUUUUAUUCCCAUUCAUUUUUAAAGCCUUAACAACCCCUUUAUUUAACUGUCUUGCAGAGUAAGUUGUUAUUGAACGCUUACAAUUAGCAUUUUCAUAGCCUGUUUCAUGGGUUUGGUUUUUUUAAUUUGUUUGGGUUUUUAUAUGUAUUAUUUGUUUGUUUUAAACUGCCAAAGGGCAUAAACAUACUCCCAGUUUUCUGUAGCCACCUGACAGCAUGUAUGAAGAGGGAAAUAAAGAUGUUCUCUUCCUGUA